UACGGAGGGGGCUAGCGUUGUUCGGAAUUACUGGGCGUAAAGCGCGCGUAGGCGGCUUUGUAAGUUAGAGGUGAAAGCCCGGAGCUCAACUCCGGAAUUGCCUUUAAGACUGCAUCGCUAGAAUCAUGGAGAGGUGAGUGGAAUUCCGAGUGUAGAGGUGAAUUCGUAGAUAUUCGGAAGAACACCAGUGGCGAAGGCGACUCACUGGACAUGUAUGACGCUGAGUGCGAAGCGUGGAGCAACAGG
rnacentral:rRNA from 1 species